UCCGGCUUAUCGCUGGCGGUCUCCUGCGAGUUGCGCCUUGCGGCAUGCCAACCCCUAUCUCAUGUUGCUAAUCCCUUGCGGGAUUAGCAACAUGAGAUAGGGGUUGCGCUCGUUGCGGGACUUAACCCAACAUCUCACGACACGAGCUGACGACAACCAUGCAGCACCUGUGUUCCCGUUCCCUUUCGGGCACAGCCCACUUUCGAGGGCCUCCAGGACAUGUCAAGGGUAGGUAAGGUUUUUCGCGUUGCAUCGAAUUAAUCCACAUAAUCCACCGCUUGUGCGGGUCCCCGUCAAUUCCUUUGAGUUUUAACCUUGCGGCCGUACUCCCCAGGCGGUCGACUUCACGCGUUAGCUUCGUUACUGAGAGUGUCAAACCCCCAACAACCAGUCGACAUCG
rnacentral:misc_RNA from 1 species